rnacentral:rRNA from 1 species
UACGGAGGGAGCUAGCGUUGUUCGGAAUUGCUGGGCGUAAAGCGCACGUAGGCGGCUUUUUAAGUCAGGGGUGAAAUCCCGGGGCUCAACCCCGGAACUGCCUUUGAAACUGGAGAGCUAGAAUCUUGGAGAGGCGAGUGGAAUUCCUAGUGUAGAGGUGAAAUUCGUAGAUAUUAGGAAGAACACCAGUGGCGAAGGCGGCUCACUGGUCCGGUACUGACGCUGAGGUGCGAAAGCGUGGGGAGAAAACAGG